rnacentral:rRNA from 1 species
GGGAAACUCACCCGGCCCGGACACCGUAAGGAUUGACAGAUUGAAAGCUCUUUCUUGAUUCGGUGGGUGGUGGUGCAUGGCCGUUCUUAGUUGGUGGAGCGAUUUGUCUGGUUAAUUCCGAUAACGAACGAGACUCUAGCCUGCUAAAUAGUUCGUCGGUAACGUAUAGCCGGCGCAACUUCUUAGAGGGACAAGUGGCGUUCAGCCACGCGAGAUUGAGCAAUAA